rnacentral:rRNA from 1 species
CAGUCGCCGCGGUAAUACCGAGGGUGCGAGCGUUAAUCGGAUUUACUGGGCGUAAAGCGUGCGUAGGCGGCUUCUUAAGUCGGAUGUGAAAUCCCUGAGCUUAACUUAGGAAUUGCAUUCGAUACUGGGAAGCUAGAGUAUGGGAGAGGAUGGUAGAAUUCCAGGUGUAGCGGUGAAAUGCGUAGAGAUCUGGAGGAAUACAGAUGGCGAAGGCAGCCAUCUGGCCUAAUACUGACGCUGAGGUACGAAAGCAUGGGGAGCAAACAGGAUUAGAUACCCGUGUAGUCCCUGUCUCUUAUAC